rnacentral:rRNA from 1 species
GGGGGGGGGGGGGGGGGGGGGGGGGGGGGGGGGGGAGAGCGGGGAGGGGGGGGGUGGCGGUUCUGGAUGAGGUGCGAACGGGUGAGUAACGCGUAGGUCGCCUGCCUGGUAGCGGGGGAUAACUAUUGGAAACGAUAGCUAAUACCGCAUGACAACAGUUAUUGCAUGAUAACUGUUUAAAAGGGGCAACUGCUCCACUACCAGAUGGACCUGCGUUGUAUUAGCUAGUUGGUGAGGUAACGGCUCACCAAGGCGACGAUACAUAGCCGACCUGAGAGGGUGAUCGGCCACACUGGGACUGAGACACGGCCCAGACUCCUACGGGAGGCAGCAGUAGGGAAUCUUCGGCAAUGGACGGAAGUCUGACCGAGCAACGCCGCGUGAGUGAAGAAGGUUUUCGGAUCGUAAAGCUCUGUUGUAAGAGAAGAACGAGUGUGAGAGUGGAAAGUUCACACUGUGACGGUAUCUUACCAGAAAGGGACGGCUAACUACGUG